rnacentral:rRNA from 1 species
CAAAAACAUGUCUGUAUGGUUGUUAUAUAGAGUCUAGCCUGCCCACUGAUAUUAAUUAAAGGGCCGCGGUAUUUUGACCGUGCGAAGGUAGCAUAAUCAUUAGUCUUUUAAUUGAAGGCUUGUAUGAAUGGUUGGACAAAAAGUAAGCUGUCUCUACUAUAAUAUUUGAAUUUAACUUUUAAGUGAAAAGGCUUAAAUAAUCUAAGGGGACGAUAAGACCCUAUAAAGCUUUACAUUAAAAUAAAAUAUAUUGUCACGUGUUUGUUUAACUUAAUUUAUUUUAAAAUUGUUUCGUUGGGGCGACGAGAAUAUAAAUGAUUAACUGUUCUUAAAUAAAAAUUACAAUAUUAAUUGUGUAAAAAUUGAUCCUUUAUUAAAGAUUAAAAGAUUGAGCUACUUUAGGGAUAACAGCGUAAUCUUCUUUGAGAGUCCAGAUCGACAAGAAGGGUUGCGACCUCGAUGUUGAAUUAAGAAUUCCUUACGGUGCAGCAGUUGUAUGGGAAGGUCUGUUCGACCUUUAAAUUCUUACAUGAUUUGAUUCCAAACCGGA